AACACAGGUGCUGCAUGGCUGUCGUCAGCUCGUGUCGUGAGAUGUUGGGUUAAGUCCCGCAACGAGCGCAACCCUUGUCAUUAGUUGCUACGAAAGGGCACUCUAAUGAGACUGCCGGUGACAAACCGGAGGAAGGUGGGGAUGACGUCAAGUCCUCAUGGCCCUUAUGGGUAGGGCUUCACACGUCAUACAAUGGUCGGGACAGAGGGUCGCCAACCCGCGAGGGGGAGCCAAUCCCAGAAACCCGAUCGUAGUCCGGAUCGCAGUCUGCAACUCGACUGCGUGAAGUCGGAAUCGCUAGUAAUCGCGGAUCAGCAUGUCGCGGUG
rnacentral:rRNA from 1 species